rnacentral:lncRNA from 1 species
ACAGAAUAGAGAAGAGGAGCAAAUGCAAAGAUGAUUCCUUUGACAAGAUGAAAAACGGUACUCUAAUACACCUGCUUUAUAGCCUAGCUGCUGUUUAGAGUGAAAUUCUUCCACCUUCAAGCAAGAAUCAGAGGUUCUUUCAGGCUUCACACAAUAAUAUGAUGAAGAGGCACGCUGAAGGUGAAUAAACACUAAUUUGUUUGCGUGUGAAUAAGGCAUCAUUUAUGUAGCAACUUCUACAGAUUGGGUACUGGAGAUUUUUCCAAAACGAAUAAUGCUCCUGCUUUUGAGCUUACAAUGUAGUAGGAAAGAUAAACAGAGUGUGAUAAGUGACAUCAUAAAGGCACAAACAAAUUCCUGUGAGCACAAAGUGGAAAGCCCCUGAGCUGGAAAAUAGCACUGAGGUGGUUUCAUGAAAGAGGAAGCAGCAAGGCUGGGCCUUGAAGAACGUGAAGGAGUCACCCAGCUAGAGAGGGCAGGAGGGUGUUCCACGAAGUACAAACAUCAUGAACAGAAAGUCAAAGAGUGAAAGUGAAGGGAGGAUUGGGGAGCAGUGAACAGACAAUGUGAGAGAGCUGCGGCACCAUGGAGAAGAGUAAUGAGAGGGACAUCCUGAAGGAAAGACAAUAUGAAGGACUGUCGAUGCCAAAGAAAGGACUUUCAGCCAUAUGCACGCAAUGGGGAGCAAUGCAAGAUUGUCAACCAAGAGACUGAGGUGACCAGAUCUGCUUCACAGCAGCAGCAGCAGCAGUGUACAUGGAAGAUUAGAGGACCGAGAGAGAUGCAUGUCAGGAAAAUCAGCUAACAGACUCUAAAAUAACUAAGACUUGAGAAAGAUCUGGAUCAAAGCUUUAACAGCAGCAAUAAAGAAAAAAGAAGAGACAUUUCUGUAAUCAGAUCUAGAAAAGUUGAUGACCCCCAGGAUAACAGCCAUGAAAGUGCUGCUACCACAAACAUGAGGAAACUUCUGUUAGGAGUUCAACCUUCAGAGAGGACAGCUGGCAGUGCAAGAUGGUGACAGCCCUGCAAUCAGGAGAAGAAAGUCAUGAGACCUGUUUCUCCAGGUUUCCCGCCUCCUUCCACCUUCUGUACAGGACACACCAGUUCCCUCAAGCCCAAAAUGUGAGCAGCUGUCAUUCUCUGCAUAGCCAAGCUCGGCAGUCUGCCGAAAGGGACAAGCCAGUCCCGCAAAGGAAUGAUGUAUGCCAAAAGAUACUGCAUUAGG